ACAGACACAUAAUGGGAAUCAACAGAUCAAGAGCUUAGAGAUUCAAGAGUUUAAGCUUUUACAACUUCCUUCUGUUUGUCACUUGAAAAGCUUCGGUAUUAGCUAUUGCCCAAAUGAAUACCACACAGUGAUAGAUGGAUCAGAUUCAGUACUCUGAGAAGUACUUCGACAACAUUUAUGAGUAUAAGCACGUGGUUCUCCCACCCGAAGUGGCAAAGUUGCUUCCUAAGAGUCGUCUGCUCUCGGAAGCCAAAGAGAUUGGAACGGUAUAAAUGAAUCUCAAUGGCCUGGGUAUUGAGAAGAUAUUGUGUAAUUCAUUUGGUACAACUUUUGGGAAAAAAAUUUCUUCUAUAAUAUAACAAGCUAAAGACAAGAUCAACCUCCCAAGAUCCUAGCUAAAAGGUUCAACCGGAGUCGACAACUUCAUGAGUUUUCUUUCAAAGAAUAUUUUCAGAGACGAAC